GUGGAUUAGAUACCCUAGUAGUCCACGCCCUAAACGAUGAUAACUCGAUGUUGGCGAUACACAGUCAGCGUCUUAGCGAAAGCGUUAAGUUAUCCACCUGGGGAGUACGCCCGCAAGGGUGAAACUCAAAGGAAUUGACGGGGGCCCGCACAAGCGGAGGAGCAUGUGGUUUAAUUCGAUGAUACGCGAGGAACCUUACCCGGGCUUGAAAGUUACUGAAUUAUCUAGAGAUAGAUAAGUCCUUCGGGACAGGAAACUAGGUGCUGCACGGUCGUCGACAACU
rnacentral:rRNA from 1 species